UUCUUAAGAGUCGGACCUCAAUUCAUUUGUCGUAAUAUAUCGCUUACCAUCGGGACGAAAUGGAUUCUACCAGUAACAAUAAUGAUACAGGCUGCACCAGCAAGUAGGCCUGAAGCAACUUCUCAACCUGUGAACAAUGGGAAGUCAGUCAAAGCUAAGAAAAGAAAAGCCCAGCAAGGGAAAAGCAAGCAAGGCGAAGGGAGACUUAUUGCGCAGCUGAGAGAAUAGACAACUACGACCCCAAAAACAACACGUAUUACAUAAAGUGGCAAGGAUAUGAUGCGUCCCACAACUCAUGGGUGAAAGCGGAAGACGUAACUUCUCCUCUCAUCUCUUCUUACAAAGAAAAAUUAGGUUCAGGAACGCACAAGAAGUGAUGCACCUCAUGUCUUAGCCCUUUCGAUUGUUUGAAAAAAUUUAUGUGAAUUUGUGCAAAUCCU